CAAUAGCGUAUAUUAAAGUUGUUGCAGUUAGAACGCUCGUAGUCGGAUUUCGGGGCAGUCCGACCGGUCUGCCGAUGGGUAUGCACUGGCCGGAGUGUCCUUUUUGCCGGAGACCGUGCCUACUCUUAACUGAGCGGGGGCGGGAGACGGCACUUUUACUUUGAAAAAAUCAGAGUGUUUCAAGCAGGCAGCUCGCUCUUGCAUGGAUUAGCAUGGGAUAAUGAAAUAGGACUUUGGUGCUAUUUUGUUGGUUUCGAACACCGAAGUAAUGAUGAGAAGGGACAGUCAGGGGCACUCGUAUUCCGCAGAGAGAGGUGAAAUUCUCAGACCCGCGGAAGACGAACCACUGCGAAAGCAUUUGCCAGGGAUGUUUUCACUG
rnacentral:rRNA from 1 species